rnacentral:rRNA from 1 species
UACGUAGGGGGCAAGCGUUGUCCGGAUUUAUUGGGCGUAAAGAGCGUGUAGGCGGCCUUACAGGUCAGCUGUGAAAACUCGAGGCUCAACCUCGAGACGUCGGUUGAAACCAUCUGGCUAGAGUCCGGAAGAGGAGAGUGGAAUUCCCGGUGUAGCGGUGAAAUGCGCAGAUAUCGGGAAGAACACCCGUGGCGAAGGCGGCUCUCUGGGACGGUACUGACGCUGAGACGCGAAAGCGUGGGGAGCGAACAGG